AUAUUUGAGAAUGCAGACAUGAGUAGCGAGAGACGGGUGAAGAUCCCGUCCGCUGGAUGACCAAGGGUUCCAGGGCCACGUUCAUCGUCCCUGGGUGAGUCGGGUCCUAAGGCGAGGCCGACAGGCGUAGUCGAAUGGAUGAACGGGUCGAUAUUCCCGUACCGGCUUUCAGCCGCCAAAACCGAGGCUUGGAGUACUAACCUCCGGGUCCGGGCUUACUGCUCCUUCGGGGGCGGGAUGCCCUGGCCUGUUGGGACCGAUCCUUGUAGUAGGUCAGCGCAGGAGUGACGCAGAAGGGUAGCCGGCCGCGGAGGUGGUCUUCCGUGGUCAAGCACGCAGGGCGUGGGACAGGCAAAUCCGUCCCGCAUGGGUCCGAGGUGCGAUGAUGGGGGCCUUAUGGCCCGAUAUCCGGUGAUCCCGGCUGCCGAGAAAAGCUUCGGCGUCAGGCUCAAAGCCGCCCGUACCCCAAACCGACACUGGUGGUCAGGUAGAGAAUACCAAAGCGAUCGAGCGAAUCCUGGUCAAGGAACUCGGCAAAUCACUCCCGUUCCUUCGGUUUAAGGGAGACCCCCGAUGGUGAACACACUUGCUGUGGGAGCUUUUGGGGGUGGCACAGACCAGGGGGUAGCGACUGUUUACCAAAAACACAGGUGCGUGCGAAGGCGCAAGCCGCUGUAUAUGCACUGACGCCUGCCCGGUGCCGGAAGGUUAAGAGGAUCCGUCAGCCUUCGGGUGAAGCGGUGAAUUCAAGCCCCGGUAAACGGCGGUGGUAACAAUAACCAUCCUAAGGUAGCGAAAUUCCUUGUCGGGUAAGUUCCGACCUGCACGAAUGGCGUAACGACUUCCCCACUGUCUCGACCAGGAGCUCGGCGAAAUUGCAGUACGAGUAAAGAUGCUCGUUAAGCGCAGAAGGACGAAAAGACCCCGGGACCUUUACUAUACCUUGGUAUUGGCAUUCGGUGUGGAUUGUGUAGCAUAGGCGGGAGGCCGAGAGGCGCGGUCGCCAGAUCGCGCGGAGCCGUAGGGUGAAAUACCGCUCUGUUCGCAUUGGAUGUCUAACCUCGAACAGUCAUCCUGUUCAGGGACAGUGCCUGGCGGGUAGUUUAACUGGGGCGGUUGCCUCCCAAAGAGUAACGGAGGCGCCCAAAGGUCCGCUCAGCCCGGUUGGCAGUCGGGUGGCGAGUGCAAGUGCACAAGCGGGCUUGACUGCGAGAACGACGGUCCGAGCAGGGACGAAAGUCGGGACUAGUGAUCCGGUGCCGGUGUACGGACGCGGCAUCGCUCAACGGAUAAAAGGUACUCCGGGGAUAACAGGCUGAUCAUUCCCAAGAGUCCAUAUCGACGGGAUGGUUUGGCACCUCGAUGUCGGCUCGUCGCAUCCUGGGGCUGGAGCAGGUCCCAAGGGUUCGGCUGUUCGCCGAUUAAAGCGGCACGCGAGCUGGGUUCAGAACGUCGUGAGACAGUUUGGUCUCUAUCCUCUGCGCUCGUUGGAAUGCUGAGGAGGCCUGCCCAUAGUACGAGAGGACCUGGGUGGACGAACCUCUGGUAUGCCGGUUGUCACGCCAGUGGCACGGCCGGUUGGCUACGUUCGGAAGGGAUAACCGCUGAAAGCAUCUAAGCGGGAAGCCUGCUCCAAGAUAAGCAUUCCGUGGAACCUUCGAGUUCCUGUAGUCCCCAUGCAGAACACGUGGUCGAUAGGCCGGACGUGGAAGCCCCGCGAGGGGUGGAGCCGACCGGUACUAACGGACG
rnacentral:rRNA from 1 species